UAGUUAAUGAACUUGAAUAAGUGUAUGUUUUGAAAACAUAAUAUAGAAAUAGAGAUUUCUAUUAACU
rnacentral:tRNA from 1 species